rnacentral:tRNA from 1 species
UGUAACUCAGCAGAGAGCGCUUGCCUUGCAAGCAUGAGGCUCUAGGUUCGAAUCCCAGCA